UGGGAUAACUCCGGGAAACCGGAGCUAAUACCGGAUAGUUCCUUGAACCGCAUGGUUCAAGGAUGAAAGACGGUUUCGGCUGUCACUUACAGAUGGACCCGCGGCGCAUUAGCUAGUUGGUGGGGUAAUGGCUCACCAAGGCGACGAUGCGUAGCCGACCUGAGAGGGUGAUCGGCCACACUGGGACUGAGACACGGCCCAGACUCCUACGGGAGGCAGCAGUAGGGAAUCUUCCGCAAUGGACGAAAGUCUGACGGAGCAACGCCGCGUGAGUGAUGAAGGUUUUCGGAUCGUAAAGCUCUGUUGUUAGGGAAGAACAAGUGCGAGAGUAACUGCUCGCACCUUGACGGUACCUAACCAGAAAGCCACGGCUAACUACGUGCCAGCAGCCGCGGUAAUACGUAGGUGGCAAGCGUUGUCCGGAAUUAUUGGGCGUAAAGGGCUCGCAGGCGGUUUCUUAAGUCUGAUGUGAAAGCCCCCGGCUCAACCGGGGAGGGUCAUUGGAAACUGGGAAACUUGGAGUGCAGAAGAGGAGAGUGGAAUUCCUACCGUUGUAGUCGGUUGAAAUUGCGUAGAGAUGUGGAGGAACACCAGUGGCGAAGGCGACUCUCUGGUCUGUAACUGACGCUGAGGAGCGAAAGUCGUNGGGGAGUCGAUACAGGAUUAGAUACCCUGGUAGUCCACGCCGUAAACGAUGAGUGCUAAGUGUUAGGGGGUUUCCGCCCCUUAGUGCUGCAGCUAACGCAUUAAGCACUCCGCCUGGGGAGUACGGUCGCAAGACUGAAUUCAAAGGAAUUGACGGGGGCCCGCACAAGCGGUGGAGCAUGUGGUUUAAUUCGAAGCAACGCGAA
rnacentral:rRNA from 1 species